UGUUCUUUCCUGUUGGUGAAUCAUUCACGGUCAGCGCUCCAGUACACCUUAAUCUGGAGUUAGGUUUACCGGCCUCGAUCCCCUGUACAUUCAAACAAGCUGCAUCUCGGACUGAUAUGAAGUACCUGGCCAUACUUUGGCACUUCAAGGGAACAGAAAUUGCAAAAUUUGACAGUAAAGAAUUUAAAAAGCCCUCAGAUCCAAGACUGACUUUAAAAGAGAAUCUUAUUGAGAAAGGAGAUGUUUCUCUGUAUAUCGAUAAUGUGACUAUAGCUG